rnacentral:rRNA from 1 species
UACGGAGGAGGCAAGCGUUAUCCGGAAUUAUUGGGCGUAAAGAGUCCGUAGGUGGCGAUUCAAGUCUGCUGUCAAAGCGUGGAGCUCAACUCCAUUAAGGCAGUGGAAACUGAAUGGCUAGAGUCCGGUAGGGGUAGCGGGAAUUCCCAGUGUAGCGGUGAAAUGCGUAGAGAUUGGGAAGAACAUCGGUGGCGAAAGCGCGCUACUGGGCCGGAACUGACACUGAGGGACGAAAGCUAGGGGAGCGAAAGGG